AUUGAACGCUGGCGGCAGGCCUAACACAUGCAAGUCGAGCGGAUGAAGGGAGCUUGCUCCUGGAUUCAGCGGCGGACGGGUGAGUAAUGCCUGGGAAUCUGCCUGGUAGUGGGGGAUAACGUCCGGAAACGGGCGCUAAUACCGCAUACGUCCUGAGGGAGAAAGUGGGGGAUCUUCGGACCUCACGCUAUCAGAUGAGCCUAGGUCGGAUUAGCUAGUUGGUGGGGUAAAGGCCUACCAAGGCGACGAUCCGUAACUGGUCUGAGAGGAUGAUCAGUCACACUGGAACUGAGACACGGUCCAGACUCCUACGGGAGGCAGCAGUGGGGAAUAUUGGACAAUGGGCGAAAGCCUGAUCCAGCCCUGCCGCGUGUGUGAAGAAGGUCUUCGGAUUGUAAAGCACUUUAAGUUGGGAGGAAGGGCAGUAAGUUAAUACCUUGCUGUUUUGACGUUACCAACAGAAUAAGCACCGGCUAACUUCGUG
rnacentral:rRNA from 1 species